rnacentral:rRNA from 1 species
UCCUAAGGUGAGCUCAGUGAGGACGGAAACCUCACGUAGAGUAAAAGGGCAAAAGCUCACUUGAUUUUGACAAAUAUAGCAAAAAAGUAUUUGUGUACUACC